rnacentral:misc_RNA from 1 species
GAUGAAGAACGUAGUGAAAUGCGAUAAGUAAUGUGAAUUGCAGAAUUCAGUGAAUCAUCGAAUCUUUGAACGCACCUUGCGCCCCUUGGUAUUCCGAGGGGCAUGCCUGUUCGAGCGUCAUUUCAACCCUCAAGCACAGCUUGGUCUUGGGCUUCGCCGCUAACCCGGCGGGUCUUAAAAUCAGUGGCGGUGCCGUCGGGCCCUGAGCGCAGUAAUCUCUCUCGCUAUAGGGUCCCGGCGGAUGCUGGCCAGUAACCCCCAAUUUUCUAUGGUUGACCUCGGAUCAGGUAGGGAUACCCGCUGAACUUAAGCAUAUCAAUAAGCGGAGGA